rnacentral:rRNA from 1 species
CAGCAGCCACGGUAAAACAGAGGGUGCGAGCGUUAAUCGGAUUUACUGGGCGUAAAGCGUGCGUAGGCGGCUUCUUAAGUCGGAUGUGAAAUCCCUGAGCUUAACUUAGGAAUUGCAUUCGAUACUGGGAAGCUAGAGUAUGGGAGAGGAUGGUAGAAUUCCAGGUGUAGCGGUGAAAUGCGUAGAGAUCUGGAGGAAUACCGAUGGCGAAGGCAGCCAUCUGGCCUAAUACUGACGCUGAGGUACGAAAGCAUGGGGAGCAAACAGGAUUAGAUACCCGAGUAGUCCCUGUCUCUUAUAC